UAAUUGCCUCGGGUAAAUUCAGGUAGCAUCUUUUGACCAUCGCACGACGAUUAUAUUUAAACCUGAGCGAGACGGGGGCACCGUACUUCAUCUUCGUUCUCCGUACAAGGAAGACAUGGCUCGCUCAAUCCUUUUGGUCGCCGUAUUGGUGGUGUUCGUUGCCGGCUUGGCUGCUGCAAACACGCGAUUCUUAAACCCUGGUUUGGGGGGAAUAGGUCUCGGACAGCCUGGGUUUGGUCCUGUUGGCAUUGGUGGAAGUCCUUACACCAACGCCUUCGGGGGUCCCUGCCGUUACUGGAACCAAGACCCCAUCACCAGGAGAUACUUCUGCACCGAAACUCCCGACAAGACCUUUCCAGGACUCUUUUAAGGACUGGCUGUCCUCUCUGUCCCUUGGAAGCUAUAGGAAUUGGAAGCAAUAUUAAUGAAAAAUGGAAAUAAGAUUAAUCAAGCAGGAGAUGUAAUAAUUUAGUCUUCAUUUUUUUGAAAUUUCAGUAAUAUUUCAAGUAGUUAUUGAUAAAAUUGUAGUAAUUGUUUAAAUAGUGACAGGAUCUUCAAUGAUGAUCAAUUUUAGGAAUAUUGGUGAGAUUUUUUCUCUCUGGCAAAAACUUCCGGAAGGGAGUGUUGUUGUGAAAAAUGAAAAUGGCUAACUUUUUAAUCAGUACCUGUUAUGCUUCAGAGAUAGACAGAUAGAUAGGUAGAUAGAUAGACUGAUAGAUAGUCGAUAAAUAUGUAGAUAUAUAUAGACAGAAAUCAUUUAUGCAAAAAUGUUUAAAAUUCUGUAAUUUAUAAUAAAGUUUAAAAUAAA